rnacentral:rRNA from 1 species
UAAAAACUUAAAAUUUAAAAGACUUGACGGUACUUCACACCGACCUAGAGGAGCCUGUCUAAUAACCGAUAACCCACGAUUAACCCAGCCCCCUCUAGCCAACAGUCUAUAUACCGCCGUCGCCAGCUUACCUUGUGAAAGGAACGCAGUAAGCAUAACAGUAUCACACUAACACGACAGGUCGAGGUGUAACUAAUGAGGGGGGUAAGAUGGGCUACAUUUUCUUACCAGAAAAUAACGGAUUAACUGUGAAAUCAAGAAUUGAAGGCGGAUUUAGCAGUAAGUCAAGAACACAACACUUGCCCGAAACCAACGUAAUGAAGUGCGU